rnacentral:rRNA from 11 species
CUGGUCACCGAAGCUGCGGCUGCAUACUUUGUAUGCGGGGUAGGGGAGCGUUCUGUAAGCCUGCGAAGGUGUGUUGAGAAGCAUGCUGGAGGUAUCAGAAGUGCGAAUGCUGACAUGAGUAACGACAAUGCGGGUGAAAAACCCGCACGCCGGAAGACCAAGGGUUCCUGCGCAACGCUAAUCGGCGCAGGGUGAGUCGGCCCCUAAGGCGAGACCGAAAGGUGUAGUCGAUGGGAAACGGGUUAAUAUUCCCGUACCUUGGAUAGCUGCGAUGGAGAGACGGAGAAGGCUAGGUGAGCCGGGCGACGGUUGCCCCGGUUUAAGCAUGUAGGGAGUGGACUUAGGCAAAUCCGGGUCCA